GGGGAUGUCUAGCUUUGAUGUUUAAGCUCUUUGAAAAUCUGCACGUCGACCUGAGUUAAGUCGUUAAACUGGUUCAAAAAAAUAAAUGCUGAUAAAGUAAUUUCAGCCAGCACCGUUAGAGUAUUUGCUGACAGAGUAGUUUCUACUACUAAAAAAGCUGCUUCUGACGUUGCUUCAGUUUUUGCUUCAAGAGCUCAAUUUGCUUUUGCUGCUUAAGAUCUGACAUCCAGUUUUACUUUUUUUAGGGGAGUCAAAAUUCGGGUGAAAACAAACUCUAAAUGCAAUUCUAUUCUAGUCAAAUAGGACUAAGUAAUUGACUAAAACUGAUAGAAAUAUUUGCUUAUUUUUUCUUCUAUCAGUAUUUAAAUAAGCUAAACGUGUAGAAGGUUUUUGAAAGUUUAAACAGACGCGGGUGCAAUUCCCGCCAUCUCCACUA
rnacentral:tmRNA from 1 species